UAGGGAAUCUUCCACAAUGGACGCAAGUCUGAUGGAGCAACGCCGCGUGAGUGAAGAAGGUCUUCGGAUACGUAAAACUCUGUUGUUAGAGAAGAACACGAGUGAGAGUAACUGUUCAUUCGAUGACGGUAUCUAACCAGCAAGUCACGGCUAACUACGUGCCAC
rnacentral:rRNA from 1 species